rnacentral:snoRNA from 1 species
UGUCCAUGAUGACAAAUCCAAAGGCUUGUUUCUCAAAACAUUCGCAGUGGCCGCCUAAGAGCUUUCGCCUUCGCCAGGCUUGAGAGCUAGUGCUGCUUUUAUCCUUCCUUGGAUGUCUGAGACU